rnacentral:rRNA from 1 species
GACGAACGCUGGCGGCGUGCCUAAUACAUGCAAGUCGAGCGGACUUGAGGGAGCUUGCUCCCGAAAGUUAGCGGCGGACGGGUGAGUAACACGUGGGCAACCUGCCUAUAAGACUGGGAUAACUUCGGGAAACCGGAGCUAAUACCGGAUAAUUCUUUUCCUCUCAUGAGGAAAAGCUGAAAGACGGUUUCGGCUGUCACUUAUAGAUGGGCCCGCGGCGCAUUAGCUAGUUGGUGAGGUAACGGCUCACCAAGGCGACGAUGCGUAGCCGACCUGAGAGGGUGAUCGGCCACACUGGGAGUGAGCAACGGCCCAGACUCCUACGGGAGGCAGCAGUAGGGAAUCUUCCGCAAUGGACGAAAGUCUGACGGAGCAACGCCGCGUGAGUGAUGAAGGUUUUCGGAUCGUAAAACUCUGUUGUUAGGGAAGAACAAGUACCAGUUAACUGCUGGUACCUUGACGGUACCUAACCAGAAAGCCACGGCUAACUACGUGCCAGCCGCCGCAGUAACAC